rnacentral:lncRNA from 1 species
GCGCUAAGAUGGCGACUCCCAUGCAUCGGCUAAUAGCCCGGAGACAAGCGUAAAGAUGGGGUUUCAUCAUCGUGGCCAGGAUGGUCCUGAAUUCCUGACCUUGUGAUCCACCUGCCUUGGCCUCCCAAAGUGUUGGGAUUACAGGUGUGAGCCACCAUGCCUGGCCUAAGUGAAGCAAAUAAGCAACAUGUAAGAUGUCAGAAAUGCUUGGAAUUUGGACAUUGGACUUAUGAAUGCACAGGAAAAAGAAAAUACCUACAUAGGCCCUCAAGGACAGCAGAACUAAAGAAAGCUUUAAAAGAAAAAGAAAACAGAUUAUUAUUGCAACAAAGGAGCUUUUUUCCCCCUCGUGUUUAUCAGCAUUGGAGAAACCAAUGUAGAAAGAAAGGCCAAGAAAAAAAGGUCUAAGAGUGUAACCAGUUCCAGUAGCAGUAGCAGUGACAGUUCUGCCAGUGAUUCUUCAUCAGAGAGUGAAGAAACAUCUACCUCUUCCUCCUCAGAGGACAGUGACACUGAUGAAAGCUCCUCUAGUUCCUCAUCCUCAGCCU